UUUAAUCAGUUGUUUUUUGCUUGUAAAUUUAAGUUCCAUGUAGAUUCUAGAUAUUUGACCUUUGUCAGAUGCAUGGUUUGCAGAUAACCCAUUCUGUAGGGCCUGUUUACUCUGCUGAUAGCUUCUUUUCCUGUGUAGAAGCUAAUUAGUUUAAUUAGGUCCCAUGUGUCAAUUUUUGUUUUUGUUGGGAUUAC